rnacentral:rRNA from 1 species
GAGUUUGAUCCUGGCUCAGAACGAACGCUGGCGGCGUGCUUAACACAUGCAAGUCGAACGUGAUCCAGAGCUUGCUCUGGUGAAAGUGGCGCACGGGUGAGUAACGCGUGGAUAACCUGCCCUGGUAUCUGGGAUAACAUCUCGAAAGGGGUGCUAAUACCGGAUAAGCCUACGGGAUCUUCGGAUUCUGCAGGAAAAGGAGGCCUCUAUUUAUAAGCUUCCGUAUCAUGAUGGGUCCGCGUACCAUUAGCUAGUUGGUGGGGUAAUGGCCUACCAAGGCGACGAUGGUUAGCUGGUCUGAGAGGAUGAUCAGCCACACUGGAACUGAGACACGGUCCAGACUCCUACGGGAGGCAGCAGUGGGGAAUUUUGCGCAAUGGGGGAAACCCUGACGCAGCAACGCCGCGUGAGUGAUGAAGGCUUUCGGGUCGUAAAGCUCUGUCAGAGGGGAAGAAAUGAAACGUGCUAAUAUCACGUUUUCUUGACGGUACCCUCAAGGGAAGCACCGGCUAACUCCGUGCCAGCAGCCGCGGUAAUAC